UACGGGGGGGGCAAGCGUUGUUCGGAAUUACUGGGCGUAAAGGGUUCGUAGGUGGCCAACUCAGUCAGACGUGAAAUCCCUCAGCUCAACUGGGGAACUGCGUCUGAUACUAGAUGGCUCGAGUGCAGGAGAGGAACGCGGAAUUCCAGGUGUAGCGGUGAAAUGCGUAGAUAUCUGGAGGAACACCGGUGGCGAAGGCGGCGUUCUGGACUGCAACUGACACUGAGGAACGAAAGCCAGGGGAGCAAACAGG
rnacentral:rRNA from 1 species